rnacentral:rRNA from 1 species
AAUAGGCUAAUUAAGAGCGUAAGGGGAAUGCCUUGGCUCUCAGAGGCGAUGAAGGACGUGAUAAGCUGCGAUAAGCUGUGGGGAGUGGCACAAACACGUUGAUCCGCAGAUUUCCGAAUGGGGUAACCCGGCAUAUUGAAGAUAUGUCACACUGUAAAGUGAGCGAACCUGGUGAACUGAAACAUCUAAGUAACCAGAGGAAUAGAAAACAAAAGUGAUUCCGCUAGUAGUGGCGAGCGAACGUGGAACAGCCUAAACCUAUGUUGUUAAGGCAAUAUAGGGGUUGUAGGACCUCAACAUUUAAUGCUAAUAGAACUAGAAUUUACUGGAAAGUAAAACCAUA